rnacentral:lncRNA from 1 species
AAGACCUUCUAGUAUCUGUCUCAAGCUUGUAGCUCUAUCUGAAGGUUGUGAAAGAUCCUCCAGCUCUUUCCAAUCUUUAUCUUCAUAGUAGCUCUUCUCUUCAAAGAACUUGACAUCUCUAGAUACAAGUACUCUCCUUGUCUCAGGAACAAAGCAUUUGUAUCCCUUCUGUGUUGAACUGAAGAGAAGAAUGGAGCUUGUACAUAUAGGGGCAAGCUCUUGAAGAUCUUAAGAAGAGUUCUAUGAAGCUUCAGAAGUGAUGAGAAGCUGAUACAAGAUUUGGGCAAUGUCCAAGAAGGGUUCUAAUCAGACAUGGGAGAACAUUGGAGGAGUUUAGGCUGCAAUGGUUAAUGAGAAAGUUAGGGCGAUCCGUACGGACGGCCGUACGGACUGUACGGACCGUACGGACCAGGGCGUCCCAAAACUUAUCAUCUCGACCAUUUAAGCAUAGUUGAGGAAUGUGCAAGCUUAGGGCACAAUGUGUACGGCCAGGAAGUCCGUACAGCAUGGUCUGGUCAUGACUUGGGUCACAAGGCAUGGAGAAACUCAUUUGGACCUUAUACAUGAAGAAGGGAUCAAAAUGGCAUCUUGGAUGGCCUUGGAAAGGAUCAGGCGAGAUGCUGUCCGUGUAUGGAUAAGGUCUUCACUCCUAUUGGCUUAUUCAGUCCACAAGACAGCUCAUGACAGCCUGUGUAAAGACCAGGAACGCCCAAGCUUCCUAUUGGCCAAGCAUGUGAAGCUUACGGUCCAUAGAAUUCAAAAUAAGGCUCCUCCUUGUUUGACUUCACAUGUGUGAUGUAUCUGACUGUAAACCCUAGUAGAAAACAGUCUGUCCUAUUUAAAUAAGAGGCAGAGACGAUUUGUAAGCUCUAAGUGAGUAAGGGGGUUUCCCUUCUCCUUCUCUAAUCUUCAGUCUCUUAUUCUCUCAGUUUCUCUCUAGUCUCUUAAGUCUCUUAAUCUCUGUUCUUAAGUCUCACAUACUCAUAAACACUCUCACUAAUCCUUUCCUAUAUAUCACCUAGAACAAGCUCUAAUCAUUCUUCAUUGAAGCUUAUACACAC